AGAGCGAGACUCCAUCUCAAAAAAAAAAAAAAAAAGUUUAUCUCAAAGUUAUUUGAGGUUUUGUCAACCGUGGAACCGAAUAACAAGUAUAAGGAAGAACAAUACAAUUCAUAUCUAUUUUUUUUUAAAAGUUAUUGCGUGUUUUAAAGCAGCAGUUGGUGAUCUGGCUUACUGCGGGUUUUAGCCUUCCACGGUCCACAGCCCACGGUCCAGGUGUUGUCCUAUAAAAGUCUCUGGAAGCACAGACUUGACUCUUCCCCUGAGAUAGGUAUGGGAUAGAAAUGGAAAGGAGGAUCCUUUGGGCAAUAGCAUUACGUAUCACAUUUGUUCCGGGCAGUUUUGCAUUUCACAGUCUAGUUUGCAACCCCUUCACAGAUAAUUUCAGGGCUUUUAAAGUAAGUUACUCCAAUUAAUUUGAAUUGCAGGAACUUUCCUGGAUCCAAUCACUCACUGCUCCUCCUGGACCCCCCUCCCCCCACCGAAUUCGCAGUUCCCAGACCGCUGAGCUGCAGGAGACUCCCUAGCAGGAUCGGGUCCAACCUGCUGGCAAAAAUAGUUUUGAGAUAAACCGUUUUCAUCUUGGUGGGAAGAAAACAUUUUGCUUUCCAACAGAAGGGGCCCACACAACUCUAUGCUUUUUACCUUACAACUGCACAGGCCCCGCCCCCGCGGUCCCUCUGCAGACCCCGCCUCUCCCCGGGCUCCGCCCCAGGCUACCCGGGCUCUGCGCGCACGUGCAGUUUCUUGGAGUCCCGGAAGCGGAUCGCGGUGUGUGAAGGUGACACCGCCGAGCAAGAGUGUGCCUAGGUGUAGAUUAAGCCUUCGAUUCGCCGUCCCGCUUUUCCACACCCGCUCUGCUGACCUUAAAAUCCCCGCAUCGCGCCCUUCACCCGAGCCGGAUGUGGUGCUGCACGCCUGUAAUCUCAGCUACUCUGAGGGUGAGGCAGGCAAAUCGCUUGAUCCCGAGAGAGGGAGGUUGCAGUCAUCGGAGAUCGCGCCACUGCACUCCAGCCUGGGCGAGAGAGCAAGACUCCACGUCAAAAAUGUUUUUAAUUAAAAAAAAUAAAAAUGUAUUUCUCUUAA